UAGCGGAGGGAGCUAGCGUUAUUCGGAAUUACUGGGCGUAAGGCGCACGUAGGCGGCUUUGUAAGUUAGAGGUGAAAGCCUGGAGCUCAACUCCAGAAUUGCCUUUAAGACUGCAUCGCUUGAAUCCAGGAGAGGUGAGUGGAAUUCCGGAAGUGUAGAGGUGAAAUUCGUAGAUAUUCGGAAGAACACCAGUGGCGAAGGGCGGCUCACUGGACUGGUAUUGACGCUGAGGUGGCGAAAAGCGGUGGGGAGCAAACAGG
rnacentral:rRNA from 1 species